UGCCCGAAGUCCGCCCUAUGACCCACAACUAAAAAUGAGCCUUGCGACAAGACGCGGACAUUCCCCAUGCUGCGGUUCCCUCCAGUCCGUUCCGUUCCCGGUUGGGUUAGGGGAACAUCCGAGCGAUUGCCUUCGCGGAUCCAAACGCGCUCACAAGGCGCACAAUAAGAAUAAGACCAAUAGAGACUUCAUAAGAGACCAUUUGAGCUGCAGAUCGUAAUGCUCCUAGAAAGGCAUAUUUCGAAUAUAGAAGAGUGAAAGUUCCCAACAAUCAACGAGUUGAUCAUACCCUUCUAUGAACCGUACGAGCACGUCCUCUGUCACCCCCCCACCGCGCUUACGGCUCUAUACCCCAACCCCAACCCAACUUGCUCUGUGCUCUGGUCCCCGGUCUUAUCUUUGCCUUUUCCUUUCCCUUUCGUCUACUAAGAAAAGGCGAACAGCAUCGACGAUGGCCUUUUCCACCUUUAUUUUGAGCGGCGAGUCUUUUUCCGACCAUAAUGCGUUAUUAAGUAUGGAAAGACAUCGGCGCACAUUGCUAAGGUUGGAUGGAUUUUUCGGUUGGGGACCAUAUGUUAUUACCGUAGAGACUUCUUCGUCCAAGUUCUCUAUCGGACCGACAAGCGGAGUACCCCCUUGGGCUUCCAUCUCUUUCCUGAUUUUCCAAUCGACCCAUGCUCGGAUGGACGCCCGUGUUUCAUCCAUUUCGAGUUGGUGUCUCUGAAGCAAUUGAGCUUCGACGUCGAGUUGGAGAGGGGUCUUGUUCAGAUCUAUAGCCCCCGAAUCUCCUUUUCCUCCGUUAUGGCCGGAGUACUGUUGAGAUCAAAUCCCCUCUUCCUCUUAUGUGCAGAAGAUGAACCCGAGAUCUCCCCAGAAGAUGAACCCGAGGUCUCCCCAUCUUCGGUGUCGCAAAAUGCAAUGAGUGGUAUACCGAAUACAUAUAGAAAGAGAGAGAAUAUAACUACUGGAAUUAUAAAGUUUCCCAUUAUUUCUAAGAAGAAAACUUUCAUCUUUCGUGUAGUUUGUUCUGUUCCUCUGUGCAUCUCUGUGAUGGGUAAAUCCCCAUGAAAAAGGGGCAACUUUCGUGUAGUUUGUGAUUGGAUGUAACUGUUAAGAUUUUCUCUCGGAUAAAUCUUUCUCUUAAUAGAUCUCAUUUUCUUCCUCAAUCUUCGGAGAAUGCGGCGUUGUAUUAUUGUAAGUUCUCUCUUCCGAACAUUUCCUGAAAGUAGACGACAAGUUUUAAAUCUUAAUGCAGACAUGGCAUAUCUCGUUGAAUCAGUCUUUUUCACCACAAAGGGGCAAUGGGAAUCGAACCCAAUUCUAUUCUUAUUCUUCCGUGAACCCCUCCACGAAUAACAAAAAAACAUUUAUCUUAUCUACGAGAAUUUCUGCUUUGCUGCUUUUCUACUUGGCUGUACGACAACUGAACACCAAGUCAAUCUCGAUGAAAGAAAAGGAGAAGCCAAUCCAUUUCUUUGAUCACUUGUUAUAGGUAAAGGUACUAGAGGGAAAUGCUCAAGUCAAGCUCAGUCGAAAGGUCCGAGUGAAUAUUGACUCAUCUUAAAUAACCUAUUCUCGUAUUUCAAAUAACUAGUCUUUGAGAAGAGAAGGAAAGCGAAGCUAACGACAUGAAGAAAUAGAGUGAAAGGGAAGGCAUAUUUUAUAUGAAAGUAGGGGUGUUCUAUUUCUAGGAAGCUUCAGCUCGCUCUUCUCAUGCGCAAGUCUCAGUAGGGCUUCUCUUCUAUUGAAUAAGUUAUAUAGUCUGAUAUUCUAUUUCCCAUCGCUGAAUGCUGACUUAUUAACUAGAUUCCGAGCUUCCUGCUACUCUCAUUGUCAAGCAAAGACAUGCGGAUAAGCUUCAAGCGAAGAACAGAGCGUCAGCCCUGCCUUAAGAGUAAGAAAGCGGGUAAGAUUCCACUACCCCUGAUGAUGAAGAUGUUGAUGAGGAGACCUGCCCAAAAAUCCUUUUGACAGCGGAUGAUAAGAGAAGACUGAGGUGGCCAUGGCACAAAACACUGAUUGUGAAACUGCUGGGUAAAACCAUAGGGUUCAAUUAUUUGAGUUUGCGAUUAAGGCAGAUGUGGUCUCCAAAAGAAGAGUUGAAGCUUAUUGAUUUAGGGAAACUACUUAGCCAAGUUUGCUAACCUAGAGGAUUAUGAUUAUGUUCUGAGUGAAGGACCAUGGAUGAUUGCAAACCACUACCUCACUAUCCGCAAAUGGUGUCCUUCUUUCCAACCAGAGGAGGAUGCCAUUAAGAAUCUGGCUGUAUGGGCUACGCUAAACCUCUCUAUUGAAUAUUUUGAUCAACCUUUCCUGGAAAGGCUUGGAAGCAAAAUAGGACGGAUUGUCAAAGUUGACAAGACUACUUCUUGGCGGAAAGAGGGAAGUAUGCUAGGUUGUGCAUUGAAGUGGAUCUAAGGAAGCCAUUACUUUUGAAAUAUAGGCUAAGAAGGCGCAUACGGAGGAUUGAGUAUGAAGGGAUAGACCUCAUCUGCUUUAG
rnacentral:lncRNA from 1 species